GUGGAAGCUCUGCGUGCCGCUUGAGGCAGAAGCUUCAAGCGCUGUUGCUGGUUUCCUCCAACUCUUUUGCUUUUUUUUUUUCUUUUUUCUCCUGCCAGGAUUAGGGCUUGUCCUAAAUAAGGGCUUUUCCUCAGUGUGGACGCUGCUGUGAAGACGCAGGGAAUAGGAAGGAGCCUGUUGCCAGCAGCAGGAACCUGUGGCGUGACCAAGAAAGGAACCUUUGUGGUUGGAAGCCACUGAGGACUCCAUAAUACAAGGACAGCGGAUGUCACACUUCUCAUUUAACACACUUUUGAAUGGGGCUAGAGUAUCCGAUGGUUUCGCUGGAAAGAGAUUAAUAGUGACUCACCUCGACAUAGCACACGACAAAAGUGGGGAUGAAUAAGGAAAAGAAAGUCUCCUCUCAGGAGUGAAGAAAAGAAGGUGCCCUGAUGUAGAGAAAUUGAGUCACCGUAGCUGGCAUGAGAUCAAUGCACCAUGCUGGUGAGAAACGCUCCCUCUCACAACCCGGGUAGCUAUUGACUCCGGCAGCCCAGAGCCCUUGGGCAUGUUCAUCAAAUUACUGGAAUUAUUAACAGCUUCUUGUUGGCAGUUCCGAAGAAUCUCAUGCGACUCCAGUCUGACUCCUGAAGCUCAAGUCUUUAUUAACCUGCUUUUGAAGAUGGAUAAAAAAUGAGAGGACUUGACGUGAGAAUUUAAAGCACCUUAGGGAGAACUUUUCCUUUGUCAGGCAGCGAUGGUCUGCCUCCAUCAUCCAGGCUGCAUCUAGGGAGAGUCCAGAGGCAUCUGCGUCCUCUCGCCUGGAUGUGAGCCUUUGCUCCCGCGUGAUUCACACUGAAGACAGACCUUCGACUCUCAACUCUUUGUUCGCUUCAUAAUUUUGUUUCACUUAAAUUCAGAUCUUAACAUCUGAGAGAUGGAGAGAACUGUGGCGGAUUCUAGCUCUGGCCCCAUCAUCAACUCUAACCGAGUGACUUAACCUCUUUGGAACUCUGUUUCCUUAUCUUGCUUCAAUAAGAAAAGGAAAAAUGAGACUUUUUUAAGGCUCAAAAAAAUUCAGGGAGAGCCACUUUGAGAAUCCUUUGGUUGCUUGGGGGUGUAUAAGAUUAGCCUCCUAAUAACAAUUUUUGGCAGAGUUCCUCAGCCAACUUAACUGAAUAAAUAGCUCAAUGAUGUGGUAACGUGGGGGUAAAGUCAUGGUGGCCAGAGAAAGUAUAGGGCAGCUGCCAAGAAAAACACACAAAUUUAUAAAGGCAGUACUGACCCUAAGCCAUACUGGUAGGACAGAAUUAUUAUUCCUCUUCAUGCAACUUAACUUUCAUAAUACUCUUCAGUGUUGGGAGAUUAGCUUGGCAGAUGUCCAAGAAGAGAAGAGCAGAGCCAGCUUUUAAGGUAUUGGAAUUCCCAAAAGGUAGAGCAGAGGAAAGGUGAGAUCCCAGGGUCAGAAAUACCCCAGAGAUAAUACUACAUCACGGAUGCAUUUACACCAUGGACAAGCGAACUUCUCUCUGAAUCACCUACUUAGGGCUACCUUUCUGAAGAUAAGACUGUUGGAAGGUACGCUUUAUUCUAAUGUGGGAUUCCGUUGGUUAGGACCUUACUGACUGAAGAAACCUCUCCCAAGGCACAAGCAUCCUGUCUCCUAUUCUCUUCUCCAUUUGCAUGUUAAUAUCUCCAGAGCGCAGGGGCUAAGAAGACUUUGUAAAAAUCAAAGUCUUGGAUUCUAAGGAUAUAGCAGGAUGAAUUUGAAAAAUAUAAUUUAUUAUUUCUCUUUCCCCAAGCAUUGGGGCCAUUCAUUCCUCCAUUGGCUGAACAGGGUUGGGCCAAAAUGGGCAGAAACAGCAACAACUUAGAUUUAUUGAGACUUUCCUAGGUUCCUGGCAUUGUUCUGACCCCUUUACACCUAAUCUCCUCAAGGACCUUAUGAGAAGAGCUCUAUUAUUAUGUCCAUUUCGCUGACAGGGAAACUGAGGCACUGAAAGUAUAAAUACCUUACCCAAGAUCAAGGCUCUGGGAAAGGUGGAGCUCUGAGAUUUGAUGUUCAGCUUUUGCCUUCCAAACUAGGUUUAUCGCAGAGAAAAUGGUUAUGAAAACAAAAGCAUUCGAUUUUGUCAGGGAGGGAAGAUUCUUCCUCUACACUCAUGGUCUUCCAGCUGGACCAAGAAUUAAAUUUAUAUGAAACAAGUUUACAGGAGGGAAAAACCCAAAGUUUUAUUACGUGUGCGCUGAGGCCCGCUGGUGGACUCAAGGACUCGAGGUUUAUUUUAUAGCUUUCUUGACUUUCAAGUCCCUAUCUCUGGUGAUAAGGAUGUCUUUUUACUUCUUCGUACAAGGAGGGUAUUUUUCAUAUGGAGAUUCGUUUGCUGCUUUCAGUAGGGGUUUGGGGCACAGAGAAGGGUCUGAGUGUCCCUGUACCCGUUGUUGCCCAAGUAGCUUUAAUUCAAAAUAAUCAAUAUGCCUUUGUGGCAGCCUGCCCUGGGCCCCUACAAUUUGCAAGUGCUUGGCUUAAAAAAAAAAAAAGAAACCUGUUUGUUGAGUUAUAACAUUUGCACAUACCACAAAACGCACAAAUGAACGGUAUAGAUCGGUGAAGCCUUGCAAAGUGAACAGUCCCAUGGAAGCAGUACCCAGAAAUCUUCCCUCUGUCCUCCUCCAAUUUCUGCCCCUCGCCAGUGGUUUGACUUUCAAAAGCAGUCAAUCUGUUUUUGCGUGUUUUGGAACUUCUUCUAAUUGGAAUCAUACACUGCGUACUUUGUGUGUGUGUGUGUGUGUGUGUGUGUGCUGUGUACUUUGUGUGUGUGUGUGUGUGUGUGUGUGUGUGUGUGUGUUUGGCUUCUUUCCCUCAUAUUUUUAUGGUGAAAUCCACUCAUAUCAUGGUGUUGUGUCAAUGAUGUAUGGCAUUCUAUAUACACAUACAAAAAUGCAUUUAUCCAUAUUACUACUUUUUUAAAUUUUUU